AUUGAACGCUGGCGGCAGGCCUAACACAUGCAAGUCGAACGCGUGGCGGACGGGUGAGUAAUGUCUGGGAAACUGCCCGAUGGAGGGGGAUAACUACUGGAAACGGUAGCUAAUACCGCAUACCAUCGGAUGUGCCCAGAUGGGAUUAGCUAGUAGGUGGGGGAACGGCUCACCGAGGCGACGAGCCCUAGCUGGUCUGAUAGGAGUACCAGCACCACUGGAACUGAGACACGGUCCAGACUCCUACGGGAGGCAGCAGGGGGGAAGAUUGCACAAUGGGCGCAAGCCUGAUGCAGCCAUGCCGCGGGUAUGAAGAAGGCCUUCGGGUUGUAAAGUUCUUUCAGCGAGGAGGCGUUACUCGCAGAAGAAGCACCGGCUAACUCCGUGCCAGCCGCCGCGGUAAUUC
rnacentral:rRNA from 1 species